rnacentral:rRNA from 1 species
GGUUAGUGGCAGACGGGUGAGUAAUGCAUAGGAAUCUGCCUAGUAGUAUAGGAUAGCCACUAGAAAUGGUGGGUAAUACUGUAUAAUCCCUGCGGGGGAAAGAUUUAUCGCUACUGGAUGAGCCUAUGUUAGAUUAGCUAGUUGGUGGGGUAAUGGCCCACCAAGGCUGUGAUCUGUAGCUGGUCUGAGAGGAUGAUCAGCCACACUGGAACUGAGACACGGUCCAGACUCCUACGGGAGGCAGCGGUGGGGAAUAUUGUACAAUGGGCGCAAGCAUGAUCCAGCUAUGCCGCGUGAGUGAGGAAGGCCUUAGGGUUGUAAAACUCUUUCAGUGGGGAAGAUAAUGACGGUACCAACAGAAAAAGUCCCGGCAAACUC